UGGCUCAGAACGAACGCUGGCGGCAGGCCUAACACAUGCAAGUCGAGCGAGACCUUCGGGGUCUAGCGGCGGACGGGUGAGUAACGCGUGGGAACGUGCCCUUUGGUACGGAAUAGCCCCGGGAAACUGGGAGUAAUACCGUAUAAGCUCUUCGGAGGAAAGAUUUAUCGGCAAAGGAUCGGCCCGCGUUGGAUUAGGUAGUUGGUGGGGUAAUGGCCUACCAAGCCGACGAUCCAUAGCUGGUUUGAGAGGAUGAUCAGCCACACUGGGACUGAGACACGGCCCAGACUCCUACGGGAGGCAGCAGUGGGGAAUCUUAGACAAUGGGGGAAACCCUGAUCUAGCCAUGCCGCGUGAGCGAUGAAGGCCUUAGGGUUGUAAAGCUCUUUCAGUGGGGAAGAUAAUGACGGUACCCACAGAAGAAGCCCCGGCUAACUCCGUG
rnacentral:rRNA from 1 species